GCGAAACCUUUACACUGCACGCCAGUGCGAUAAGGGGAUCCCAAGUGCGCAGGCAUAGAGCCUGCGCUUUUGUACACCGUAGGGAGGUGUACGAAUAAGGGCUGGGCAAGACCGGUGCCAGCCGCCGCGGUAAUACCGGCAGCCCGAGUGAUGGCCGAUCUUAUUGGGCCUAAAGCGUCCGUAGCUGGCCGCGCAAGUCCAUCGGAAAAUCCACCCGCUCAACGGGUGGGCGUCCGGUGGAAACUGCGUGGCUUGGGACCGGAAGGCGCGACGGGCACGUCCGGGGUAGGAGUGAAAUCCCGUAAUCCUGGACGGACCGCCGAUGGCGAAAGCACGUCGCGAGGACGGAUCCGACAGUGAGGGACGAAAGCCAGGGUCUCGAACCGGAUUAGAUACCCGGGUAGUCCUGGCCGUAAACAAUGUCUGUUAGGUGUGGCUCCCACUACGAGUGGGUGCUGUGCCGUAGGGAAGCCGCUAAACAGACCGCCUGGGAAGUACGUCCGCAAGGAUGAAACUUAAAGGAAUUGGCGGGGGAGCACUACAACCGGAGGAGCCUGCGGUUUAAUUGGAAUCA
rnacentral:rRNA from 1 species